UACGUAGGGGGGCAAGCGUUGUCCGGAUUUAUUGGGCGUAAAGAGCGUGUAGGCGGCUGGGUAGGUCCGUUGUGAAAACUCGAGGCUCAACCUCGAGACGCCGAUGGAAACCCCCCAGCUAGAGUCCGGAAGAGGAGAGUGGAAUUCCUGGUGUAGCGGUGAAAUGCGCAGAUAUCAGGAAGAACACCAAUGGCGAAGGCAGCUCUCUGGGACGGUACUGACGCUGAGACGCGAAAGCGUGGGGAGCGAACAGG
rnacentral:rRNA from 1 species